rnacentral:tRNA from 1 species
AGUUAAAAAGCCAAGAAAGGCCUAAUGUCUUGAAAACAUUACGAAAGAAGUUCAAUUCUUCUAUUAACUU